GAUGAACGCUGGCGGCGUGCUUAACACAUGCAAGUCGAACGAUGAAGCCCAGCUUGCUGGGUGGAUUAGUGGCGAACGGGUGAGUAACACGUGAGUAACCUGCCCUUAACUCUGGGAUAAGCCUGGGAAACUGGGUCUAAUACCGGAUAGGAGCGUCCACCGCAUGGUGGGUGUUGGAAAGAUUUAUCGGUUUUGGAUGGACUCGCGGCCUAUCAGCUUGUUGGUGAGGUAAUGGCUCACCAAGGCGACGACGGGUAGCCGGCCUGAGAGGGUGACCGGCCACACUGGGACUGAGACACGGCCCAGACUCCUACGGGAAGCAGCAGUGGGGAAUAUUGCACAAUGGGCGCAAGCCUGAUGCAGCGACGCCGCGUGAGGGAUGACGGCCUUCGGGUUGUAAACCUCUUUCAGUAGGGAAGAAGCGAAAGUGACGGUACCUGCAGAAGAAGCACCGGCUAACCACGUG
rnacentral:rRNA from 1 species